rnacentral:rRNA from 1 species
AUUGAACGCUGGCGGUAGGCCUAACACAUGCAAGUCGAACGGCAGCACAGUAAUAGCUUGCUCUUACAGGUGGCGAGUGGCGAACGGGUGAGGAAUACAUCGGAAUCUACUUUUUCGUGGGGGAUAACGUAGGGAAACUUACGCUAAUACCGCAUACGACCUACGGGUGAAAGCAGGGGAUCUUCGGACCUUGCGCGAUUGAAGGAGCCGAUGUCGGAUUAGCUAGUUGGCGGGGUAAAGGCCCACCAAGGCGACGAUCCGUAGCUGGUCUGAGAGGAUGAUCAGCCACACUGGAACUGAGACACGGUCCAGACUCCUACGGGAGGCAGCAGUGGGGAAUAUUGGACAAUGGGCGCAAGCCUGAUCCAGCCAUACCGCGUGGGUGAAGAAGGCCUUCGGGUUGUAAAGCCCUUUUGUUGGGAAAGAAAAGCAGCAGGUUAAUACCCCGCUGUUCUGACGUUACCCAAAGAAUAAGCACCGGCUAACUUCGUG